UUGGUUGGUUGGUUGGGUUGGUUGGUUGGUUGGGUUGGUUGAUUGUUGGUCGGUUGAUCGAUCAGUCGGUUAGUCGAUUGUUUAUUCGAUUUCGGUAGUCACCCAUCUUAGUAAAUGAUUCUGGGCGGCUUACAAUCCAGAACAUCUACAAUUAAAAACUCUACAGUUUAAACCUCUACAAUUAAACAAAAAAAAUCUACCCUUUAAAAAAAUAAAAAUUUAAAAACAUUUAAAAACAACAAACAAUAAGAAAAACCGUAAAAAGCGUUCAAAACCAUAGAAAGCAUUAAAACAUCAAAUUCGAGGUACACACGAGAGCCAAAAAGUUGGGCGGUUAACAAUAUAGUGAGGAAACAAACAAACACACAACACACACACACACACACACACACACACACACACACACCCCUUCUUCAUUCUGUGUUAAGAACAUUAUUCUUCUAUCUAGUUAAGUAUAUAUCUAGGUUACAUUUCCCCAUCUGCGAAAGGGUUGGGAGCAGAAUUUGAAAAACACCCACAAUGUGGCUCCAGGUAUAAUGUGUAAGACAUAUGUCCAGGCUAAAGCCAAAGUCGCACAAGAUUGUAAUUCUUCUUGUUAUCAGAUGGAGCCUUCGCUGCGAAUGCCAGAAAUGGAUUGGGGCGGGCGGGGGGCGGGCGGGGAGAUUACUAUUGCCAAGAGCUUCCCCGUGAAGAGAGCCAUUUAUUUAGCCCUUUCUCUGCCACUUGUCUUUGUUUCUGUGGUUUUUCUUUUUGAAGAAAAAAACUCCAUUAACUGUUUCUUUCUUUCUUUCUUUUUCUCUUCUAAAAGCUUAUCUUCAAUCCAAUCAGGUGAUGGGCUGGGGCGAGAAAGCAAUUGAACUGCGUGCUGUGGAAACGGGAUGCCUGGAAGGCGUGUUUAUGCACAAGAAAGCUCAGAAGCUAAAAUUUCUCUGCGAAAGAAAUGAUAAGGUAUUUUUUGCGUCAGUUCAGUCUGGUGGCAGCAGCCAAAUUUACUUUAUGACACUGGGCCAAAAUAUCCUGUUCAACUGGUAAAUGACUUUGGAAUGAAGGAAGUGAAGAUCUGACUUUCCCAAUUUCUAUGAGCCAUCUAAAGCUUAAACCCAUUUCAGAAGUUGCCCACCCUCCCCUCGUUCCUGCAACGAAAAGGAAAAGAAAACCCUGCGAUCCUCUAUAGAACAUCCAUAUAUUGCGGAUGGUACACCACUCUUGCAAGUGUAUUGUUUAAAAUUUGUCUGUUGUGCCUCGCUCGCCACCCUCCCCCCCCGCCGCAGCCGGGCCCCUCUCAUCUCCUGCUAUCUCAGCCAGAGACUGAUAGUACAGAAGAAUGUCCUGGCAUGCCUCCAGCCCCCAGCCCUGGCACCAUGCCCGGACAAACCGAGCGAACAAACCUCCCUCCGAUAGCAUGUGCGCCUGAAGCCAGCCAUGAGCUGGGAUUACCGACAGCUGGGGAUGAAACGAUGCAAUGGAUAGAUCCACGCUUCCGGAGAAUGGAGAGGCGACGUCAGCAAAAGGAAGGGAGGGGCAGGCCUGGAUAAGUGCUGAGUCAUGGAGCCACACCCCGAUGGCCUAUAUAAAGGAUCUGCUUUCUGGCAUUCUUUGAGUCAGUCUAACUUGGAUUGCUGAAGUCACAUCCUGGUCUCCUGAGAACUCUGACAGAACUUUGGCAAAGCUGCAGAGGCUUCGCAGCCACGCUUGAUAUGGACUUCCCCGACCCGGCCAUCAGAGGAGGAGUGGGACACGACAUUGUCAUCUCGGAGCACCCUUUUUUCUUUUUUUUGUUCUUUAAACAAAGCUUUUUUUGCAAAGCAGAAUGGCCCUAUGGAAGCCAAGCGUCUUACAAAGUAUGCAAUUUUUUUCUUUGUGGGCGGGGUGGGGUGGAGGUUAUUAUUAUUAUUUUUUUGCACAAAGGUUGUAUGUUGUUUCGUUCAACAUUCAGGCAGGGUGAGGGGGGGCCGUUUGGGGUGAAACCGGGCGCCCAGCUAGGCAUAUUUCCAUGCGAGGUAGAGAUGAAAAAAAAAAAAAGAUUGGAUGGGUAAAUUAACAGUAAACAGUAACAGAGUUGGAAGGGAUCUUGGAGGUCAACUAGGCCAACCCCCUGCUCACUCAGGAAGACCUAUACUAGGGAUUCGAACCACUGAACCGCCAACCUUUCUGAUCAACAAGCUCAGCGUUUUAGCCACUGAGCCACCUAGCCAGGCCAUUUGUUUGGUAGGGUUUCCCUCAGGGGUGAAAUCUAGUUUACCUUCUCUACUGGUUCAGAAGUGCGUGUGCGCCAUCGUCAAAUUCGAUUUUUGACCGUCUGAGCAUGCGCAAAGCCUUCUGCGCUUGCACAAAGCCUUCUGCGCAUGCGUGGAGGGUCAAAAAUGGGUUACUUCCUGGUUAAAACCAGGAAGUAAUGAUGUCUGGACGGAUGGGAGGAGUCUCAUGCCGCGGCCGCUAGCGGUUCGCGCGAGCUGGACAGAACUAGCAGGAUUUCACCAAUGGUUUCCCUAUUUUCCAAAAGCUUGUUUUCUCAGGUAGAUCUGCCUUCUUUCCUGAACAUCUGAGUAACGUCUUUGUUUGCCGAGAGAUUUCACAGCCCUUGCGAAGCAUUCAUUCAUGGCAGAAUGAAUUUCUCUACGGGGAGAAAUUCCCAGAGGAAGUCUAUGUUCUCAGCAGUUUGAGACUAGAAGUGUCCUCGGGGACAUCAACACCCUGGUUUCUAGCAGAUUUAGCAAUUGUUUAUUCCUAAGUACAGUCUCUUAUCUCGUGUGUGCGACUCCAUCGGAUUUCUAAGGAUAUUCUAAUCCGUAUGGGUGGGGGGGAAAGUCCUUAAGAAAGUAAGACCACACCUAGAAUCCUGCAUCCAGUUUUGGUCACCACACUAUAAAAAAAGAUGUUAAGGCUCUAGAAAGAGUGCAGAGAAGAGCAAACAGGAUGAUGAGGGGACUGGAGGCUAAAAUAUAUGAAGAACUGGGCCUGGCUGGUCUAGUGAAGAGAAGGACCAGGGGAGACAUCAUAGCAGUCUACCAAUAUUUGAGGGGCUGCCACAGAGAGGGGGGGGGGACGUCAAGCUGUUUUGCAAAGCACCCGAAGGCCAGACAAGGAAUAAUGGAUGGAAACUGAACAAGGAGAUAUUCAACCUAGAAAUGAGGAGGAAUUUUCUGACAGUGAGAACCAUCAACCAAUGGAACAGAAGUUGCCUUUGGAAGUUGUUGGAGCUUCAUCAUUGGAGGCUUUCAAGAAGAGAUUUGACUGCCAUUUGUCAGAAAGGGUGUAGGGGCUACUGCUUGGGUGGGGCGGGGGUUGGACUAGACAACCUAUAAGGUCCCUUCCAACUCUGUUAAUCUGAAUCUAUCUAAGAUGAUCAAAGGCCUGGGGGCUAAAACAUACGAUGAACAGUUGCAGGAACUGAGCAUGGCUAGUCUAGUGAAGAGAAGGAGACAUGAUAGCAGUUUCCAAUAUUAGAGGGACUGCCACAGAGAGGAAGGGGUCAAACUAUUUUCCAAAGCACCUGAAGGCAGGACAAGAAACAAUGGGUGGAAAUUGACCAAGGAGAGAUUCAACCUGGAAAUAAAGAGAACUUUUCUGACAAUGAGAUCAACCCAUGGAACAGAAGUUGCCUUCAGAAGGUGUGGGACCUUCAUCACUGGAGGCUUUCAAGAAGAGACUGGACUGCCAUUGGUCAGAAAUGGUGUAGGGUCUCCUGCUUGGGCAGGGGGUUGGACUAGAUGACCUCCAAGGUUCCCUUCCCAUUCUGCUAAUUUGACUAAGUUCCCCGCUCAUCUUGACUUGCUCGAGCGGUCCUUAAUGUUUGAAAGAGACGAUUCCCACCCAUCUGGGAUUCAGGCCUUUCCAAAUUUUUUAAUUCUUAGAUCUCAAUGGAGAACUUUCAUUUAAGCAUGAUGUUUCUAAUGGCAGUGAUAGACACAACCGUCCGUCUCAGGCCACGACGGACUUCUAACUGGAAUGACCACAAUGUCCCUUAACCUCACUGGGACUUUACCUGAAGCGAGAGAUCCUUUCUUGAAGCUAAGUUACCUUAAAAAAAAAAAUCAGGUAUUUUGUAUCAGUUCACGACUCCGAAUGACACGCUGUGUUUUGCCACCAUAAAAUCUUAUAUUCUCAGGCUUUGCAAUUCGGGUUGUACGAUUUCUCAGGUUUGCAAGACUUCGCUAAAGUUUGUACGACCCGUUGGGAAAACGCACGGCACAAUUUUUUGUUUUUUUAAGAGGAUGAACACUUUCUGCCAAAUUAUUUUUAUCCAAGGGAGAAGCAUAAUACCUGAGGACUGUGGUAGGAAGGUGGGGCAUGUGAAGGAUUUAAAGAGGCCCUGGGUUAAAUUCCAGCAUGAAAUUGCCAUCAGAAUUAUUAUUAUUAUUAUUAUUAUUAUUAUUAUUAUUAUUAUUAUUAUUAUUCCUGAGGAAAAAUUGGGUGUUAUGCUUAAAUGAGUUGUGCGGGUUGAGUUCCCUAGAUUUCCAAUUAAAGGCAUAUCCGAGACCUGGGCUGGGAAUCUUGUCACUCUUCAAGUCUCUGGAGAAACAGUCAUUGUUCAAUGGAAUAAAGGCUGUUAGAGGAAGAGCCGGUUGUUAUAUUCCUAUAAAGACAUAAUAUUUUGGAAAAGGAAUUGGGAACGCAACACUGCUACAACCGGGUUGUGUUCCCAGUGUCUAGCCAGCACAGGGGAGUUUAUCCAGAGGUGGGCUUCAAAAAUUUUAGCAAGGGGUUCUCUGCCCAGUUGCUGGGUGGGCGUGGCCAUGGUGGGCGUGGCUUAAUCGGCCUCCUGCACCAUGACGGGAGGGGCGUUUAUGCCCUCCCCGGGCUCUGGAGGCUUUUCUCGAGCCUCCGGGAGGGCAAAAACGGCCUCCCCAGGCUCUGGAGGCCAGAAAUGGGUCCAUUUCUGGCCUCCAGUUUUUUUCUGGUAGGCCCGUUUUUUGCCUUGUACAUGCCGCGUGGGGACUCCUGGGAGUGUUGGGGCAGGGUGGGCUAGGCUGGGCUUGACCAGCCAGGAGUGGGAUUUGGGAGUUCUCCAAACUGCACAGAACCUUAGCUAGAGGUUCUCCAGAACCCCUGCGAACCCCCAGCAGCCUAGCCCUGAGUUUAUCCCAAAACCAAAGACUGGGUGGGGUGAGAAACGGGGGUUUUUGUCAUGAAAAUUGUGGAAAGACUUCUCUUAACUUUGCUUAGCUUUCAUUAAGGCAGCCAGGAGCCCCCACCCCACCCCGACAAUCUUUUAAGGGUGAUAAUAACUUGUUUUGUUAUUUAUGGCGGGUUCAUCUUAAAAGUAGAUAACCUUUGGUUCAUUCCAAGACCCACAUGGUUAAGGCUGGCAUUGUGCAAUUUAUUUUUUUCUUUCUUCGGUGUUGCCACUCACCCUGCUCACUCAUGUCCUUUUUCGAGUGUUUUUAUUAGUGGAUCAGAACGUUAAAUACAGAAAUGCAAAGAUAAAUGAAAAUAAGGUGGGGGGGGGGAAGAGAGGAGGAAAGGGAGAAGAGGAAAAAGCAUAGGGUAAAGGAGAGAAGAAAAAGGAAAACAUUUUGGCUUUUUUCGGCACAGUAGAAUACGGUAAUAACUGGCAGUCUCAACUUUUCACUUUUCAUAAUCAUAUAUAUUAGCCAUUUCUAUAACAACAAGAGGGACCUGGUGGCUCAGUGGCUAAGAUGCUGAGCUUGUCGAUCGGAAGGUCGCCAGUUCAGCGGUUCAAAUCCUUAGUGCCGCGUAAUGGGGUCAGCUCCCAUGACAUGUCCCAGCUUCUGCCAACCUAGCAGUUCGAAAGCACGUAAAAAAUGCAAGUAGAAAAACAGGGACCACCUUUGGUGGGAAGGUAACAGUGUUCCGUGCGCCUUUGGCGUUGAGUCAUGCCGGCCACAUGACCACGGAGACGUCUUCGGACAGCGCUGGCUCUUCGGCUUUGAAACGGAGAUGAGCACUGCCCCCUAGAGUCGGGAACGACUAGCACAUACGUGCGAGGGGAACCUUUACCUUUAUAACAACAAACCCAUCUACCGUCCCCCUUGACUGUCUGGAUUUGAAAUUUGGCGGAAGAUUAGGACACUUGCAUUGUGUCCUAAGGAAUGAGUGCUCCACGGAAGGAAGACUGGGUUGACAUGGUUUACAAAUGCCUUUUGUGUCGCACAAUUGUGAUAGGUAGUUAGGAAGUGGAUGUGUGGUGAGCAGGGGUAGAAUAGAUUUGUCUGAUUCUGGCCAUCAGUCUAGUUCAUUUGAAAGGGAUACCAUUGGUUUCUAAAGCUGAUUGUUCUCGUAACGGGUGUUUCAUUUCGGUUUCAAAAUUGAAAGCAGACCCGAAGAAUAAUACUUUAUUAAAAAGCGGGAAAAAACCGGGGGAAAGAGGAGGGGGUGAAAACUAGGAUUUUUUGUACUGCAUUCCAUGAUUUUUUUCCCAAAUCCAAAAGCACAUCUCUAUGUCAGAGAUAAUAAGAGUGAACGAGAAUAGGUGGAAACAGCUGCAAUCUAUCGCUUCAAAAUUAUUUGGCGUCUUUGUCUCCAUGCUUAACAUUCUCCUAGCGUUUUUUUACUCAGUAAUAAUAAUUUUAAAAAAGCCGUUUAGAGUUUCUUGUUUUCCCAAUGCUCAGAUAUUGGGAGAGAAUGGAAACUGAAAAGUUGCAGUAUUUAUUUCCUCUGGAGACUUUUGUCAGAGUAAUUGGGUGGAGAAAAACCUUUCAGUCACUGUUUUUUUAUAACUACGGAGGUAAUAUCAGAACUUGAUGUUUCUCCAGUUUCCAAUAUAUAUAUAGGAUUUAUAUAUACUCUUCUCCAAUCUGAUGCCUUCCAGUUCUCUGCUAUAUAUAUAUAAGUCCUAUAUAUAUAUAUAUUUGCCUUAGGUAUCUGGACAAAAACCAAGAAUAAACUUUCACAGAAAGAGGAUCAAAUGAAGAAGGCCUCUAACUAAAAAAAGGAAAAUAAAAAACAGAAUAAUAUAUAUUUAACUGAACGGUUGCAACAGUAGCUGGGCUGUUAUCCCUUUGUGGAGAGAAUAGAAAUAAGUUAUGCUCUGGCUGGGCAAUUCUGGGAAUUGAAGUCCAGAUAUCUUAAAAGGGUUGCCUUGGGAAUUCUGGGAGUUGAAGUCCAGAUAUCUUAAAGAGAUGCCUGGUGAAUUCUGGGUGUUGAAGUCCAAAUAUCUUAAAGGGCUGUUUGGGGAAUUCUGGGAGUUGAAGUCCAGAUAUCUUAAAGGGCUGUUUGGAGAAUUCUAGGAGUUGAAGUCCAGAUAUCUUAAAGAGAUGCCUGGUGAAUUCUGGGUGUUGAAGUCCAAAUAUCUUAAAGGGCUGUUUGGGGAAUUCUGGGAGUUGAAGUCCAGAUAUCUUAAAAGGAUUGCCUGGGGAAUUCUAGGAGUUGAAGUCCAGAUAUCUUAAAGAGAUGCCUGGUGAAUUCUGGGUGUUGAAGUCCAAAUAUCUUAAAGGGCUGUUUGGGGAAUUCUAGGAGUUGAAGUCCAGAUAUCUUAAAGAGAUGCCUGGUGAAUUCUGGGAGUUGAAGUCCAAAUAUCUUAAAAGGGUUGCCUGGGGAAUUCUAGGAGAUGAAGUCCACCCAUCUCAAAGUGCUCAAAGGUUGACAAACCCAGUCGUAGAUCAACGAGGAACAUUUCAACGCUCAGCCCAACUAACCAGUUUAUUGAAACAAAAUAAAUAAAUAAAUAAACAACCCCCCCAGG